UUGGCUCAGGAUGAACGCUGGCGGCAUGCCUAACACAUGCAAGUCGAACGAAGGUCCUGGUUCGCUGGGGCUUUAGUGGCGCACGGGUGAGUAACGCGUGGGAACCUGCCCUUUUGUUCGGACUAACGUUGGGAAACUGACGCUAAUACCGGAUACGCCCUACGGGGGAAAGAUUUAUCGCAGAAGGAGGGGCCCGCGUCAGAUUAGCUAGUUGGUGGGGUAAUGGCCUACCAAGGCGAUGAUCUGUAGCUGGUCUGAGAGGAUGAUCAGCCACACUGGGACUGAGACACGGCCCAGACUCCUACGGGAGGCAGCAGUGGGGAAUA
rnacentral:rRNA from 1 species